UACGUAGGGUGCAAGCGUUGUCCGGAAUUAUUGGGCGUAAAGAGCUCGUAGGCGGUCUGUCGCGUCUGCUGUGAAAACUCAGGGCUUAACCCUGGACCUGCAUCGGGUACGGGCAGACUAGAGUGCGGUAGGGGAGAUCGGAAUUCCUGGUGUAGCGGUGAAAUGCGCAGAUAUCAGGAGGAACACCGGUGGCGAAGGCGGAUCUCUGGGCCGUAACUGACGCUGAGGAGCGAAAGCAUGGGGAGUGAACAGG
rnacentral:rRNA from 1 species